AACGCACAUUGCACUCCUCUGGAGUAUGCCUGUUUGAGAAUCUAUAGUAUUAAUUUCUUAUGAUUUCAUUCGUGAAAGACUAAGGAGAUAUGAAGUUCCCAUUUUUUGAUGGGUUCUUUUAAAUAGAUUGCUACUAGUAAUAUGAAAAUGCUUGACAUUUCUCUGUAUCUAUUAGAAAAGUAUGUGUAUGGAACCGUGGUUUCUCAUAAUGCCUACUAUUUUAGAGGAGAUUUGGAGUUUUCAUAUGAACAGUUUAGUCCAUACCUAUAAAGGCGCAAGCCUUGAACCAUGGUCUCAAAUCAGGUAGGAAGACCCGCUGAACUUAA
rnacentral:misc_RNA from 1 species